UUCUAGGGGAGCUCUUCGGAGCCGAGAGGGGCCAGCGCCCGACCCUUGAACCUGAUCUGGGUUAUGCCAGCGUAGGAAAGCAAUUCU
rnacentral:ncRNA from 1 species